CGGAGGUUGACACUGUGUGUCCUUCUCUAUGGGUCUCCACUGAAAGCUUGAGUCAAUCUUCCACGGAACCUGAUGCUCACUGAUUGGCUAGACUGGUGGGUGACUGAGCUCUGGCGAUCCACUUGCCUCCAGGUGCCCAGUGCUAGGAUUCUACAUGUGCGCCAUUGCAUCCAGGCGUUGUGUUUGUUGGAAAUGCCAGCUCGGGUCUCCAUGCUUGCACGGCAGGCACGUUCCCAGUUCAUGGGCUCCCAAGGAAGAGGACUGUUCUGACUGGAAUGUGACGUGUCAGCCACAGGCUCAUAUGUUCGGACUCUUGGUGCCAGCUCACGGUGUUGUUUAGAGAGGACACACGUCCCUGGGGUGUGGGAUUUACUGAUGGAAGUACAUGACUGGGAACUGGACUUUGGAGGUUCUAUCUGCCUCUGGUUCUAGUCCCUUAUGUCAGGUCUACCUCACAACAAGGAAUGUAGCGAAUGCAGUAACUCUAGCUCAAGGAUUUGGGUCUCAGACUAAAGAAAACCUGCCAAUGCGAAAUGAUUCUCAUC
rnacentral:lncRNA from 1 species